UACAGAGGCCUCGAGCGUUAGGCGGAAUCACUGGGCUUAAAGCGUGUGUAGGCGGACCCCUAAGUGCCUUGUGAAAUCCCACGGCUCACCCGUGGAACGGCUGGGCAUACUGGGGGUCUUGGAGCCACCUAGGGGCUACCGGAACAAAUGGUGGAGCGGUGAAAUGCGUAGAUAUCAGGAGGAACACCUGCGGUGUAGACGGCUUACUGGACGGUAACUGACGCUGAGGCACGAAAGCGUGGGUAGCAAACAGG
rnacentral:rRNA from 1 species